CAGAACUCUGGCUGUGACAUUGUG
rnacentral:miRNA from 12 species